rnacentral:lncRNA from 10 species
AUGCAUAAGUGGGGGCUGUGGUUUGUCCCACUAUCCCUCUUUUUAUUUAUGGCUCCAGGAAUUGUGACAGCAGAAUUCAGAAGAAACUGUAUCUGGAUGGAGCAAAUUUAAAAUCUCACCUCCCAGAGAUAAAUGCUUUUACACUUUGAGAUCAGCUCAGUGUUAUUGCUAAUCUGAAAGCGAAUUACCAGCAGGAAGCCGAGACAGUAGAACUUUAUCGCUUG